CGGAGCCUAGCCAACUGCAGAGAAAUGAUCAGAGACCUCCCUGAGCCACAUCUAAAUAAGCUAUAACCCUCUGGACUACCUCAGUUUUACUGAAUCAACUUAGAGGAGAGAGCCCCUUGGUGCUACGUGAAAUGAGUCAUUUGAGGGGGCUGGCCACAGUACGAAGAAGAAAACAGUGAGGCUGUCGCAGGUAGAAUCUCGGUCAUUUUACACAGUAGAGAAUUCUGGAAAGCCAAAGCCCUCGAAAUCAUCUGCACUAUGCUGAUCGCCAUACUUAUUUCCAAUGAUUGGUGUCUGCAGAGAAACAAAAAGGACAGUGUUCGACUGGGAUCUUUCACCAUAAAGGGAUUAGUAGUGGAUCUGUAAGGACUUUUUUUUUUUUUUUUUUUACAAACAACCAAAAAAAAAAAGCAAAGGAAGAUAACAGCAU